rnacentral:rRNA from 1 species
UACAGAGGGUGCGAGCGUUAAUCGGAAUUACUGGGCGUAAAGCGUGCGUAGGCGGCUAUCUAAGUCGGGUGUGAAAGCCCCGGGCUCAACCUGGGAAUUGCAUUCGAGACUGAAUAGCUAGGGUACGGUAGAGGGAAGUGGAAUUUCCGGUGUAGCGGUGAAAUGCGUAGAUAUCGGAAGGAACAUCAGUGGCGAAAGCGACUUCCUGGAUCAGUACCGACGUUCAGGCACGAAAGCGUGGGGAGCAAACAGG